UACGUAGGGGGCAAGCGUUGUCCGGAAUCAUUGGCGUAAAGAGCGUGUAGGCGGUCCGAUAAGUCCGCUCUGAAAGCCCGGGGCUCAACCCCGGGAGGCGGGCGGAUACUGUCGGGCUAGAGUCCGGAAGAGGCAAGUGGAAUUCCUGGUGUAGCGGUGAAAUGCGCAGAGUAUCAGGAGGAACACCGAUGGCGAAGGCAGGUCUCUGGGCCGAUACUGGCGUGAGGAGCGAAAGCGUGGGGAGCGAACAGGG
rnacentral:rRNA from 1 species